rfam:Macaca mulatta chromosome 14, whole genome shotgun sequence.
UAGGGAAGACGGGGUUUGGAUCCCCUCCCUGAACCUAGGGUAACUUUGCAAGUGGAGGGGUC